GGGGCCGACCUGGUUUCGACGUGGGUUGCGAAGCAAGCAGGGCAUGCCGAGGAUCGGUUCACCUCGUAAAUCCAUCAAGGCUAGGCGCUGCACCGAUCGCUCUGCGGGUCGGGCCGGGUAACCGGUCGCAGCGUCAUUAACAGCAGAAGUAAGGGUGUGUCUGGCCGCGCGGCACAUCACGAAAAUUCAGCGGAUCGCUCUGCCUCAGCCUGCCCGUCGGCGGUUGCAGGGCUAGAUCAAACGACUCGGCUACGCAUGUAGAACUGUUUGUGGAGGGCUUGCGGACGCGGGUUCGAUUCCCGCCGGCUCCACCA
rnacentral:tmRNA from 1 species